GCUCCUUUCCCCACUGCGUAGUCGAUCUCCACCACUAGGGAGCCUCGAAAUAACUUAUACAAUUCCUUCAGUCCAACAAAAAUAGCGCUAGCUUCGGCCACCUUGACAAUUAUUCAUGCACCCAGCCGCCUAUCUGCAAGCAAUUUUUGCAUCAUCUCUAGUACACUCCAUGCACAUAGUUAGCGUGAUUAUAGCAUUGUCGGCAACAAACAGGAAUCCAUAUGUAGUCUAAAUCUUAACUGAACUUUAUAGGUUUGACCGUCCAGGAGCUCGGUGACACAAAAUUUGACAACUCAAACUUUAAACCUUACCGGUCUACCAUCAUCCAUGGAAAAUCCACCACAUACUUGGCUUCAUAUUGAGAUGGUUCACCACCUUCAUCUCACACGACUUGUCACACUGCAUAUCCACGAGUCAAUCCAGUUAAUAUUUGAUGACUGAAAAAAAUUCAGAGUAAAUUGAUGGAUGCAUGAAUAAAUCAAUCGAUGUGUUGCAACGGGAGGAAAAAAACAUCACUCACAAGCCACCAAGCUCUAGGGCCUUCGUCUCCGACAUGGAAAUCAAGCAUACUCAGCACCCAUGCAAUGGGCCCCACGGUCGUCUUGCACCCCUGCAGCCCAACGGGCGAUGUCGUCGGCGAGUCAAGGCAGCGGCGGAGCAGGCGCGACACAGAUGCCACGAGCUGCUUUGCUGCCUUUCCCGAAAAUUCAACACAACAACAAAGGAAACUUGGCUAGAGAUUGCGCUUGAACACUUAACUGCAGCAAGGAUGAUUAAAACUUUCAAUAAUACAAAUUUGGCUGUGCGUUACAAUGGAGAUACUUUAUAUAUGACGGCGAAAACGGGAAAGGAAAAUAAUAGGAAAUGACUAAAUGUGUUUGUACCUCCUGACAACAUCCUUUUGCGCUGCAUCACGUAUAGUAAUGAUGUCACAAGCAUGCUCUUGACGACAACGAUUCACAUGUGCUCGCGACCUACAGAGGAUGGAGAAAAGAAGGGCAGAAGAGGGAG
rnacentral:lncRNA from 1 species